AAGUCGAGCGAUUCUCUUCGGAGAAGAGCGGCGGACGGGUGAGUAACGCGUGGGUAACCUGCCCUGUACACACGGAUAACAUACCGAAAGGUAUGCUAAUACGAGAUAAUAUACUUUUAUCGCAUGGUAGAAGUAUCAAAGCUCCGGCGGUACAGGAUGGACCCGCGUCUGAUUAGCUAGUUGGUAAGGUAACGGCUUACCAAGGCGACGAUCAGUAGCCGACCUGAGAGGGUGAUCGGCCACAUUGGAACUGAGACACGGUCCAAACUCCUACGGGAGGCAGCAGUGGGGAAUAUUGCACAAUGGGCGAAAGCCUGAUGCAGCAACGCCGCGUGAGCGAUGAAGGCCUUCGGGUCGUAAAGCUCUGUCCUCAAGGAAGAUAAUGACGGUACUUGAGGAGGAAGCCCCGGCUAACUCCGUGCCAGCAGCCGCGGUAAUACGGAGGAUGCUAGCGUUAUCCGGA
rnacentral:rRNA from 1 species